UAAUAUUAGUGUAAUAUGAUUGUUGUCUUUUGUCUUGCAGGAAUUAUUGGUUAUAUUGUGGGCAUCACAGAACAUGGGACAAGGCAUUAAAAUACAGAAUAGCCAAAAGCGAAGUCAUAAUAAUUAAUACCACAGUAACUUAAUUAUCUGAUGGCAAUCAUAGAUGGAUUUUUUGGGGGGAUGCAGGUGGUGUGCACCCUCAAAAAUAUUUUCACCACCUCAGAAAGUUUUCCCACCCCACCUAGAGAUAUUUGCACCUACCCCAGAAAUUUAAAUGCUGGUUUGAUUAAAUGACAGCAGUAUAAUUGAACUAAAUAAGAACUAAAUAAGACUUAAAACAAGGCCAAAAAUCUCGAAAUAUCCUGGGGGUCGGUGCCCCCAACCUUACUCCAACUCUGUCCCCACUAGUGACUGUACCCUCAGCAUGGGCAUACAGGAAGGAAAAAAUUAGGGGGGCAGAAAGAAAUUUGCCUGACUUUUUCGGAUUGUGCCCGAGUUGUCAAAAAAAAAAUUUCCAGAGAAACUUUCCGAAAUUGUUGUCAACGGGGGGGGGGGGGGGGGGGUAGACCCCGGUAGACCCUGCUGCAUCUUACUCAGCACACCAUGUGCUCACUUUCCACCCCUGAAUUUUUCUGCACACCCCCACCCCAAGCAAAAUUUGAAAAUGUCUAUAGAUUAUGGUGAUGAUAACAUAAAAGUAUAAACCUUUAUUACCGUAAGUUAAUUUAAUGUUAAUUAAGACUAUUAAGUUAACACAUGCUCCACUACA